rnacentral:lncRNA from 1 species
CGAAAAUUCAGAUACAUCGUUCCUCAACCCACUUAAACACAAACAGCACCUAAAAUGCUGUUUCAGCAUAUUACAUCUGUGCUACAAUUCCUCAAGUGUUUUCUCACUUAAACAGUUUCAGACCCCAGUUUUGCUUCUGUUGAUUUUAGGUGCUUAUCAAGUUCCAUGUUUUGAACAAUUCUUGUACUUCUCCCCUGGCCAGCAGAGCCAUGGAAGAUUUGCCAUCCACUUUUCUUCAGAUGGGAUGUGAUACAGAGAGAUGAAAAGUGUUCCACAGGCACUCUGUCAGGGAAAGUGCUUGGGAUCACCAGUGCAAAGGUCUAGGUGAGUUUGAACCAUUGCAGUGACCUUUCUUUCUGGAUCUAGAGCUUACUUCAUGGCUUUUGCAUCAGAAGAUGGAAGAUUCCUAUGUAUGAGCCACUCUUCAGCAUGCAGUUAGAAGGACUGCUGGACAACUUAGCAGUUAUGGAUUGCACUGAAAGAGAAGAGGACUGCAAACCUUCUUUCACACAGUACAUCUUGGCUCACUUCCUGCCGUUGGAAAAGAUUGUUUCAAUACCUGUGAACAUGUGCAUUACAAGAGACAGACUUGCUCCUUCCUGCAUCGAAAACUGAGCUCUGAAUAUUUCUCUGAGAACCUCAAGCAUGGAUAAUUAGCAUAUUGAACAGAGAGUGCCUUCCUACCCCUGAAAGAAAAAAAGGAGUUGACUGAGGCAGCACCACUGUUACAGGCUGAGGACUAGCUCCACAUGACUCAGAAGUGAAAGAGAGAAAUGAAACCAAAGCCUCCUACAGCAAAUUUCUUCCUACCUCUCUUCUCCCUUUCUCGAACCAAACUGUAUUGUCUUAAUCUGAGAAUGUGAUUUAUUUGUGAAGUAUCUAGUGGGUGGCAGAGGUGGGGAGCAAAGCUGCACAAAGCUCCCCUGAGCUGCUGACCGAGGUAAAUAGUGUGUCAUAACACAUUUAUCAAAUAAUAAUGGAAACCGUAUAGAACACGUAGGAGAGGGAGGGGGAAACCCCAUUCCCCACUGGGAAGUUACUGAAUAUUUCAGCCAGUUUAUAAAAAUAUGUGUACAUGUGUUUGGAAGGGGGGAGGUUUUUCUAGCUUCACCUCUGCAAAUAAAUCAUUGGUGUGGGAUGUCUGAGCA